rnacentral:rRNA from 1 species
UACGUAGGCAGCGAGCGUUUGUUCGGAAUUACUGGGCGUAAAGAGUGUGUAGGCGGUGCUCUAAGUUCGGUGUGAAAUCUCCCGGCUUAACUGGGAGGGUGCGCCGGAAACUGGAGUGCUCGAGCGUGGGAGAGGAAAGCGGAAUUCCUGGUGUAGCGGUGAAAUGCGUAGAUAUCAGGAGGAACACCUGCGGUGUAGACGGCUUUCUGGACCAUUGCUGACGCUGAGACACGAAAGCGUGGGUAGCAAACAGGG